rnacentral:rRNA from 1 species
UGGGGAAUCUUGCACAAUGGGCGCAAGCCUGAUGCAGCCAUGCCGCGUGUGUGAAGAAGGCCUCCGGGUUGUAAAGCACUUUCAGCGGGGAGGAAGGCGAUAAGGUUAAUAACCUUAUCAAUUGACGUUACCGACAGAAGAAGCACCGGCUAACUCCGUGCCAGCAGCCGCGGUAAUACGGAGGGUGCAAGCGUUAAUCGGAAUUACUGGGCGUAAAGCGCACGCAGGCGGUUGAUUGAGUCAGAUGUGAAAUCCCCGGGCUUAACCCGGGAAUUGCAUCUGAUACUGGUCAGCUAGAGUCUUGUAGAGGGGGGUAGAAUUCCAUGUGUAGCGGUGAAAUGCGUAGAGAUGUGGAGGAAUACCGGUGGCGAAGGCGGCCCCCUGGACAAAGACUGACGCUCAGGUGCGAAAGCGUGGGGAGCAAACAGG